UAAGGAAUAUUGGUCAAUGCCCGGAAGGGUGAACCAGCCAUCCCGCGUGAAGGAUGAAGGGGCUCUGCCUUGUAAACUUCUUUUGAAUGGGACGAAAAAGCCUCACUUGUGAGGAACUGACGGUACCAUUAGAAUAAGCACCGGCUAACUCCGUGCCAGCAGCCGCGGUAAUACGGAGGGUGCGAGCGUUAUCCGGAAUCACUGGGUUUAAAGGGUGCGUAGGCGGCUGUAUAAGUCAGUGGUGAAAGGCUGUGGCUUAACCAUGGGAUUGCCAUUGAUACUGUACGGCUUGAAUUAGGAUGAGGUUGGCGGAAUGUGACAUGUAGCGGUGAAAUGCUUAGAUAUGUCAUGGAACAUCGAUUGCGAAGGCAGCUCACAAAACUGUAACUGACGCUGAGGCACGAAAGUGCGGGGAUCAAACAGGAUUAGAUACCCAUGUAGUCCCUGAGCGGGCUGGCAAGGCGCAU
rnacentral:rRNA from 1 species